rnacentral:rRNA from 1 species
AUGAAGCUGGAAUCGCUAGUAAUCGCAGGUCAGCAUACUGCGGUGAAUACGUUCCCGGGUCUUGUACACACCGCCCGUCACACCAUGGGAGCCGGAAAUGCCCGAAGCCAGUGACCCAACCUUAGGGAGGGAGCUGUCGAAGGCGGAGCCGGUAACUGGGGUGAAGUCGUAACAAGGUACC